ACUGCAAAGCUUUCAAUUCGUAAGCCUGGAUCUUCAUCAGUGCAUAUUAUUAGCACUGAUGAAGAUCCAGGCUUACGGAUCGAAAGCUUUGCAGUAAUAGAUU